rnacentral:lncRNA from 1 species
GGAAAAUGACGUGGCACUGAAGAGGGGACUUAGAGAGACAGGGCCAGUGGGUGGAGGAGGAGAGGACGUGCCGGGAAAAGAAUGCAGAAAGGAGAUUUUUUUUGGCCACAGAGUUUUUGCUAAAAGCAGCUAGGAAGCCCCACGGCUCCAGUGUGCGUGAACUCCUGGUAAUUUCCUUGGGGAAUCCCGCCUCAGAGAACCUCUACCCCGAGAAUUAGGAGGAAGCUGAGCUAGGCUGACUUGAGGAAAGAGAGCUGGAGGAGCGGGGUUCAACAUUUUUCAAAAUAAAAAGUUGGUAGAAUAAUAGGAAGCCAUGAGGACCAAGAAGCUCACAUUUCCAAGGCUUUCUAAGUUUCACCUUGAAGCAAGAUACAUCAUAAAGCAUUGUCUAGGUACAACUUGCACUUUCCUGUCCAAGCCUCAGACCCUGUUCUUCAUCUGGGCCCACAGAGCAACAGCUUCCACUUUUGUGGCCAAAGAAAAAUGCUAACCAGCUUGUAAUUGCUGUAAGGAGAUGGAGUUUCACUUACAUCCAGGCUGGAAUGCAGUGGCGUGAUCUUGGCUCACUGGAACCUCCACCUCCUGGGUUCAAGCAAUUCUCGUGCUUCAGCCUCCCGAGUAGCUGGGAUUAUAGGUACGCUCUUUCAUGCCCAGCUAAUUUUUGUAUUUGUAGUACAGAUGGGGUUUUGCCAUGUUGGCCAGGCUGGUCUUGAACUCCUGGCCUCAAGUGAUCUGCCUGCCUCAGCCUCCCAAAGUGCUGGGAUUACAGGUGUGAGCCACCAUGCCCAACCUCAUUUAUUUAUUCGUGUGUGUGUGUGUGUGUGUGUGUGUGUGUGUGUGUGUAUAACUGCCUAAUAGCUUAUACCUUAAGAGAGCCUUAAAUAGUAUAAGAAAGAAAAGAUAAACAAAGGGCAAGACUGUCACAUCUGUGUGGCUACAAAAGGAAAAUAUUCCUUACACAGCAUAUUUCCUACAUGAUUGACAAAGCUAGCAAUCUGCAUUCAAAAGCAUGUAGCCCAUGUACCACAGGCUACAUACAGGCUCUCAGGCUAAUGAUCAGAAUAACAAUUAUGAGUAACUUUUCCCGAAUGCUUACUAAGUGCCAGGCACUACACUAAGUGUUGUUUUGUUUUGUUUUGUUUUUGAGACAGAGUCUCACUGUGUCACCCAGGCUGGAGUGCAGUGGUGAGAUCUUGGAUCACUGCAACCUCCUCCCAGGUUCAAGCGAUUCUCCUGCCUCAGCCACCCAAGUAGCUGGGAUUACAGGCGUGUACCACCAUGCCCAGCUACUUUUUGUGUUUUUAGUAGAGACCGGGUUUCACUAUGUUGGCCAGGAUGGUCUAAAACUCCUGACCUAAGGUGAUCCACCUGCCUCAGCCUCCCAAAGUGCUGGGAUGACAGGCAUGAGCCACUGUGCCCGGCCUUACACUAAGUGUUUUGCAUAAUGUUAUAUGCCUUGUUUAAUCCUCAUUUUUCGAAGGAGGCUCCUGAGACUCACAGAAGUGAGCUGCACAGAGUCAUGUGAUUGAUAAGUGGUUAAGCUGAGGUUCAAAUACAGGCCACUGAAUUUCAAACUAAAAACCCACAAUCAUUCCAGGCACCACCUUAAAGUUCUACUUAUAAGGGGCCAGCGAGUGGCACACGGCCCAGGACGAAAAAGUGAGUGAGGAUAUUCAAACACAAGUCACAUCACGACAUGGCAAAAACAGAAAAACUUUGAUGUUCUCCAUCUGUUCUUCAGACAGAGAGCUCAAACAUAAGAGAGUAGGGCUCAACUUUAAGACAGAAACUGCCCAGCACCAUCUGCAGGUGGAUUGCAUUGUUUGGGGAGGCAGUCACAUGACCCAGAUCUGCUUCCUGCCUCUGCUUGCAGAAGUCUAACACUCUGAGGGCUAACACCAAUCCUGCUUGCAGGAUUCUAACACUCUGAGGCUCCGAGGUUGUUAAAGUCCCUGUCUCCCACACUACCAACCCCACUGUCAGCUUGACCAUGAGUGAAUGCCUUCACCAAUGUAUAGAAAGGACCUUGCUAAUAGGAAAAAAGAUGAGCCUGGAGCCUAAACAGGAAGGCUUUCUCUUCCACGGAUUGGAAGCACCGCUAAAGAAGCUGGCUGACUUGUGAGGUUCGGGGAUAACGAAGUAUGAAUGUACAGCUCCGGGUACUGUGCUUGGAGCAUAUGAAACAUGCAACACAUGACUAGUGUUGUUAUACAGUUUUCAUUCCCACAGUCUCUAACAAAAUAUAGUCAUACGUCUUUUUUUAAAAAGACGUGUUGGAUUCUAGUGCUGAGAAGAAGAGAAGCUACCACUAAUAUAGCAUGAGAGAGUGGCAGACAGAGAGAUCCCUGGGGACCCACAUUUUUCAGGGAGAAACCCCAAUUCUUUCUGCCCUUCAAGCAGUGGCACACAGCAGAAAGUGAAAUCAUUCAUUGGACAGCUUGAUUGGAAACUGUGAUUUAUAUUACAGGGAUCUUUUUGCCACAAUAGCCUAAUCUAAAUCAGGCCAUUAUUUCAUACAAGCCAUUAUUUCAUAAAGUUUUACAUUUUAACCUGUAACUCAGGUACCAAGUUUCCUCAAGCUACACAUUCCCACUCAUCAACAAUAUCAUUGGUUUGACAUUAUACAUACAAAAAGAGCAAUUUUUUAAGAAAAACAGUUAUAAGCUGAUACAUCAUUUUCAACACACCCUAUAUAUAAAGUUGCUGUGUUUCAGAGGUUAUUUGGAUUAUUUUAAUCUAUUGAAAAAAAAAGCUAACACGACACUUUUGGACAGUUCAGCCUCCUUUUUCUUUGCUUUGAUGGUGUUCUUUUCUCCUUUUCUCCCUCUAGUUUUUAUCUCUGUUCAAAAGCAAGAUUUUAAAUCCUGUAAGUAGAAAUUGGAACAACUUCUGGGCUUUGCACAGCACCUAGCUAGUUCUUCAGGAUAUUCUUUGUUCUAUUUUUUAACAUACAUUUUUAAAGGUAAUAAUAAACUAAACUUUGACCUUUAAAAUCUUCAAAUAAAUCAAUCAGCAGAGAAAUAACUAGGUAAAGAGCAGAAUGGAAAACAAUCAAACAAGGCUGGAAAGUCAUAGAAAAUUCCUAAAAUUGUGUGUUUGUAUGUGUGUGUGUGUGUGUGUGCAUGUUGUUGUUCUUAUUGUUCAUUUGUAUAUGUGUGAUUUGAGCAACAUUUGAGAAAAAAAAAAUAAGAAAAUGAGGAA